GACGAACGCUGGCGGCGUGCCUAAUACAUGCAAGUCGAACGCUUCUUUCCUCCCGAGUGCUUGCACUCAAUUGGAAAGAGGGGUGGCGGACGGGUGAGUAACACAUGGGUAACCUACCCAUCAGAGGGGGAUAACACUUGGAAACAGGUGCUAAUACCGCAUAACAGUUUAUGCCGCAUGGCAUAAGAGUGAAAGGCGCUUUCGGGUGUCGUUGAUGGAUGGAGCCGCGGUGCAUUAGCUAGUUGGUGAGGUAACGGCUCACCAAGGCCACGAUGCAUAGCCGACCUGAGAGGGUGAUCCGCCACACUGGGACUGAGACACGGCCCAGACUCCUACGGGAGGCAGCAGUAGGGAAUCUUCUGCAAAGGACGAAAGUCUGACCGAGCAACGCCGCGUGAGUGAAGAAGAUUUUCGGAUCGUAAAACUCUGUUGUUGGAGAAGAACAAGCACGUGAGUAACUGAACGUCCCCUGACGGUAGCUAAGCAGAAAGCCACGGCUAACUACGUG
rnacentral:rRNA from 1 species